rnacentral:rRNA from 1 species
UGCAGUCGAGCGGUAACACAGGGAGCUUGCUCCUGGGUGACGAGCGGCGGACGGGUGAGUAAUGUCUGGGAAACUGCCCGAUGGAGGGGGAUAACUACUGGAAACGGUAGCUAAUACCGCAUAACGUCGCAAGACCAAAGAGGGGGACCUUCGGGCCUCUUGCCAUCGGAUGUGCCCAGAUGGGAUUAGCUAGUAGGUGGGGUAACGGCUCACCUAGGCGACGAUCCCUAGCUGGUCUGAGAGGAUGACCAGCCACACUGGAACUGAGACACGGUCCAGACUCCUACGGGAGGCAGCAGUGGGGAAUAUUGCACAAUGGGCGCAAGCCUGAUGCAGCCAUGCCGCGUGUAUGAAGAAGGCCUUCGGGUUGUAAAGUACUUUCAGCGAGGAGGAAGGCAUUAAGGUUAAUAACCUUAGUGAUUGACGUUACUCGCAGAAGAAGCACCGGCUAACUCCGUGCCAGCAGCCGCGGUAAUACGGAGGGUGCAAGCGUUAAUCGGAAUUACUGGGCGUAAAGCGCACGCAGGCGGUCUGUCAAGUCGGAUGUGAAAUCCCCGGGCUCAACCUGGGAACUGCAUUCGAAACUGGUAGGCUAGAGUCUUGUAGAGGGGGGUAGAAUUCCAGGUGUAGCGGUGAAAUGCGUANAGAUCUGGANGAAUACCGGUGGCGAANGCGGCCCCCUGGACAAAGACUGACGCUCANGUGCGAAAGCGUGGGGANCAAACAGNAUUAGAUACCCUGGUAGUCCACGCCGUAAACGAUGUCGAUUUGGANGUUGNUCCCUC